GCCGGGUUAGCUCAGCUGGUAGAGCGCUUCUCUUGUAAAGAAGGGGUCGUCGGUUCGAAUCCGACACCCGGCCCCA
rnacentral:tRNA from 1 species